rnacentral:tRNA from 1 species
GCCUGGCUAGCUUAGCUGGUAAAGCAUGAGGCUUUUAAUUUCAAAGUUGUGGGUUAGAGGCCCAUGUUGGGCA